rnacentral:rRNA from 1 species
AUUGAACGCUGGCGGCAUGCCUUACACAUGCAAGUCGAACGGCAGCACGGAGCUUGCUCUGGUGGCGAGUGGCGAACGGGUGAGUAAUAUAUCGGAACGUACCCAAGAGUGGGGGAUAACGUAGCGAAAGUUACGAUGAUACCGCAUACGAUCUAAGGAUGGAAGCAGGGGACCGCAAGGCCUUGUGCUCCUGGAGCGGCCGAUAUCUGAUUAACUAGUUGGCGGGGUAAAGGCUAACCAAGGAAUCGAUCAGUAGCUGGUCUGAGAGGACGACCAGCCACACUGGAAAUGAUACACGGUCCAGACUCCUCCGGGAGGCAGCAGUGGGGAAUUUUGGACAAUGGGGGCAACCCUGAUCCAGCAAUGCCGCGUGGGUGAAGAAGGCCUUCGGGUUGUAAAGCUCUUUUGUCAGGGAAGAAACGGUCGUGGCUAAUAUCCAUGGCUAAUGACGGUACCUGAAGAAUAAGCACCGGCUAACUACGUGCCAGCCGCCGCUGUAA